AGUGAACGCUGGCGGUAGGCCUAACACAUGCAAGUCGAACGGCAGCACAGUAAGAGCUUGCUCUUACGGGUGGCGAGUGGCGGACGGGUGAGGAAUACAUCGGAAUCUACUUUUCGUGGGGGAUAACGUAGGGAAACUUACGCUAAUACCGCAUACGACCUACGGGUGAAAGCAGGGGAUCUUCGGACCUUGCGCGAUUGAAUGAGCCGAUGUCGGAUUAGCUAGUUGGCGGGGUAAAGGCCCACCAAGGCGACGAUCCGUAGCUGGUCUGAGAGGAUGAUCAGCCACACUGGAACUGAGACACGGUCCAGACUCCUACGGGAGGCAGCAGUGGGGAAUAUUGGACAAUGGGCGCAAGCCUGAUCCAGCCAUACCGCGUGGGUGAAGAAGGCCUUCGGGUUGUAAAGCCCUUUUGUUGGGAAAGAAAAGCAGCAGGUUAAUACCACGCUGUUCUGACGGUACCCAAAGAAUAAGCACCGGCUAACUUCGUG
rnacentral:rRNA from 1 species